rnacentral:rRNA from 1 species
UGGGGAAUAUUGCACAAUGGGCGAAAGCCUGAUGCAGCGACGCCGCGUGAGGGAUGACGGCCUUCGGGUUGUAAACCUCUUUCAGUAGGGACGAAGCGCAAGUGACGGUACCUGCAGAAGAAGCACCGGCUAACUACGUGCCAGCAGCCGCGGUAAUACGUAGGGUGCGAGCGUUGUCCGGAAUUACUGGGCGUAAAGAGCUCGUAGGCUGAUUGUCACGUCGUCUGUGGAAUCCUAGGGCUUAACCCUGGACGUGCAGGCGAUACGGGCUGACUUGAGUACUACAGGGGAGACUGGAAUUUCUGGUGUAGCGGUGGAAUGCACAGAUAUCAGGAAGAACACCGAUGGCGAAGGCAGGGCUCUGGGUAGUAACUGACGCUGAGGAGCGAAAGCAUGGGUAGCGAACAGG